AAGCUCGACGCGCGCACUCUUGUCUGCUUACGAGGGCUCCUCCCUUCAGCUUUGGUCCCUCGGGGCGUCUGGGCAGCCUACGCUUUCCGACUGGAAUCAGCCAUUUUACCAAGAAAGUUGGGUUUCUUUUACUGGCAAAUAGUACUUCAAGAGCACAGUCUUAUGUAAGGGAGCUGUACCAAGUUAUUUUGGGUCAGAAUUCUCCUGGGAUAUCUUUUUUCUUCGCCUUUUUAAACUCGUUUAUUAUAAAAACAAUGUUACCAUAUGCAAAACUAGAAGAGUGUAAUGAAUUCCCGUGUGUCCAUCAUCUAUCUUUAACAGCAUGACCCAUCUGCCUGGCACCAGCACCUGGGGCUGCCAGGCAGCCACCCCUGCAGCUGUGUUGACAGGACCUGGCAGAGGGACUGACCCACCUUUGGAAAAUGACACCAGCAAUAUCAGGAUGUGUCAACUGGAUUUAUGCUAAGAAAAUAGGAUUUUUGGUGUUCCUCUGUUUCCCAAAGUUUGAGACACUUUCAGACACUCUGCUUUGCGGUUGUGGCCGAUGUUACCCAUGGGUGGGACUUUUGCUUUGCUCU
rnacentral:lncRNA from 10 species